AAAGUUCAGUUUCCGAUUUUUCUUCACCUGCGCGCAGCACCGAGUCUAUAUCCCCAAUUACAUUUUCUAUGGACGGCAUCAUUUCGAUUAUAGAAAACAUUAAGCUUUCUUCUUCUGCAGAUGUGGAUGACAUUAAUUCAAAACUUCUCAUAAAUGUUAAACAUGUGUGUGCCGCAUACCUUACAUUGUUAUUUUCGCAGUCAUUAUCAUCAAGCAUUCUGCCAGCAGACUGGAAAGUAGGCAAGGUCGUUCCAGUCUACAAAUCAGUUCACUGAAUCAUCCACCGUACAUCACGCCCCCUCCGCACAUAUCCCAUCGCACUGGUCAUCCGUUACAAGUCGCAAUACCACGUACCCGGACCACUGCAUUCCAAGCCUCCUUUUUCGUAAGAGCAGCAAAAGACUGGAACGGCCUUCCUCACGCCAUCUGUGCCAUCACUAACCCAUCUAUGUUUGCAGAAGCCAUUAAAAACACCGUUGUAUAUUUCUUUUUUGUUAUACACCACCCCUUAUGUAAUACCCCUACAGGGGGUCUUUAAGGAAAUAAAAGUGAAGUGAAGUGAAGCGAAGUCUUCAA